GACGGACCACACGAACGUUAUUCGGAAUUACUGGGCUUAAAGGGUGCGUAGGCUGUGCAGAAAGUUGGGUGUGAAAUCCCUCAGCUUAACUGAGGAAGUGCGCCCAAAACUACUGUGCUCGAGGGAGACAGAGGUGAGCGGAACUUAGGGUGGAGCGGUGAAAUGCGUUGAUAUCCUAAGGAACACCGGCGGCGAAGGCAGCUCACUGGGUCUCUUCUGACGCUGAUGCACGAAAGCUAGGGUAGCGAACGGG
rnacentral:rRNA from 1 species